rnacentral:tRNA from 3 species
GGCUGGAUAGCUCAGUUGGUAGAGCAAGGGACUCAUAAGCCCUGGGUCGGCGGUUCAAAUCCGCCUCCAGCCACCA